UACGUAGGGACCAAGCGUUGUUCGGAUUUACUGGGCGUAAAGGGCGCGUAGGCGGCAAAUUAAGUCAGCUGUGAAAUCUCCGAGCUUAACUCGGAACUGUCAGCUGAUACUGAUGUGCUAGAGUGCGGAAGGGGCAAUCGGAAUUCUUGGUGUAGCGGUGAAAUGCGUAGAUAUCAAGAGGAACACCUGAGGUGAAGACGGGUUGCUGGGCCGACACUGACGCUGAGUGCGCGAAAGCCAGGGGAGCAAACGGG
rnacentral:rRNA from 1 species